rnacentral:rRNA from 1 species
UGAUGCAGCGACGCCGCGUGAGGGAUGACGGCCUUCGGGUUGUAAACCUCUUUCAGCAGGGAAGAAGCGAAAGUGACGGUACCUGCAGAAGAAGCGCCGGCUAACUACGUGCCAGCAGCCGCGGUAAUACGUAGGGCGCAAGCGUUGUCCGGAAUUAUUGGGCGUAAAGAGCUCGUAGGCGGUCUGUCACGUCGGAUGUGAAAGCCCGGGGCUUAACCCCGGGUCUGCAUUCGAUACGGGCAGACUAGAGUGUGGUAGGGGAGAUCGGAAUUCCUGGUGUAGCGGUGAAAUGCGCAGAUAUCAGGAGGAACACCGGUGGCGAAGGCGGAUCUCUGGGCCAUUACUGACGCUGAGGAGCGAAAGCGUGGGGAGCGAACAGGAUUAGAUACCCUGGUAGUCCACGCCGUAAACGGUGGGAACUAGGUGUUGGCGACAUUCCACGUCGUCGGUGCCGCAGCUAACGCAUUAAGUUCCCCGCCUGGGGAGUACGGCCGCAAGGCUAAAACUCAAAGGAAUUGACGGGGGCCCGCACAAGCAGCGGAGCAUGUGGCUUAAUUCGACGCAACGCGAAGAACCUUACCAAGGCUUGACAUACACCGGAAACGGCCAGAGAUGGUCGCCCCCUUGUGGUCGGUGUACAGGUGGUGCAUGGCUGUCGUCAGCUCGUGUCGUGAGAUGUUGGGUUAAGUCCCGCAACGAGCGCAACCCUUGUUCUGUGUUGCCAGCAUGCCCUUCGGGGUGAUGGGGACUCACAGGAGACUGCCGGGGUCAACUCGGAGGAAGGUGGGGACGACGUCAAGUCAUCAUGCCCCUUAUGUCUUGGGCUGCACACGUGCUACAAUGGCCGGUACAAAGAGCUGCGAAACCGUGAGGUGGAGCGAAUCUCAAAAAGCCGGUCUCAGUUCGGAUUGGGGUCUGCAACUCGACCCCAUGAAGUCGGAGUUGCUAGUAAUCGCAGAUCAGCAUUGCUGCGGUGAAUACGUUCCCGGGCCUUGUACACACCGCCC